CCUACGGGAGGCAGCAGUGAGGAAUAUUGGUCAAUGGACGAGAGUCUGAACCAGCCAAGUAGCGUGAAGGAUGACUGCCCUAUGGGUUGUAAACUUCUUUUAUAUGGGAAUAAAACGUUCCACGUGUGGGAUUUUGUAUGUACCAUAUGAAUAAGGAUCGGCUAACUCCGUGCCAGCAGCCGCAGUAAUACGGAGGAUCCGAGCGUUAUCCGGAUUUAUUGGGUUUAAAGGGAGCGUAGGUGGAUUGUUAAGUCAGUUGUGAAAGUUUGCGGCUCAACCGUAAAAUUGCAGUUGAAACUGGCAGUCUUGAGUACAGUAGAGGUGGGCGGAAUUCGUGGUGUAGCGGUGAAAUGCUUAGAUAUCACGAAGAACUCCGAUUGCGAAGGCAGUUCACUGGACUGCAACUGACACUGAGGCUCGAAAGUGUGGGUAUCAAACAGGAUUAGAUACCCUAGUAGUC
rnacentral:rRNA from 1 species